rnacentral:rRNA from 1 species
GAUGAACGCUGGCGGCGUGCCUAAUACAUGCAAGUCGAGCGAACAGACGAGGAGCUUGCUCCUCUGACGUUAGCGGCGGACGGGUGAGUAACACGUGGAUAACCUACCUAUAAGACUGGGAUAACUUCGGGAAACCGGAGCUAAUACCGGAUAAUAUAUUGAACCGCAUGGUUCAAUAGUGAAAGACGGUUUUGCUGUCACUUAUAGAUGGAUCCGCGCCGCAUUAUCUAGUUGGUAAGGUAAAGGCUUACCAAGGCAACGAUGCGUAGCCGACCUGAGAGGGUGAUCGGCCACACUGGAACUGAGACACGGUCCAGACUCCUACGGGAGGCAGCAGUAGGGAAUCUUCCGCAAUGGGCGAAAGCCUGACGGAGCAACGCCGCGUGAUUGAUGAAGGUCUUCGGAUCGUAAAACUCUGUUAUUAGGGAAGAACAAAUGUGUAAGUAACUAUGCACGUCUUGACGGUACCUAAUCAGAGAGCCACGGCUAACUACGUG